GUACUCGCUUCGGCGGUACAUAUACUAAAAUUGGAACGAUACAGAUAAGAUCAGCAUGGCCCCUGCGCAAUGAUGAUACACAAAAUCGUGAAGGUUUCCAAUUUUUU